UACAGAGGGUGCGAGCGUUAAUCGGAAUUACUGGGCGUAAAGCGUGCGUAGGCGGUGAGUUAAGUCUGUUGUGAAAUCCCCGGGCUCAACCUGGGAAUGGCAAUGGAUACUGGCUCGCUAGAGUGUGAUAGAGGAUGGUGGAAUUCCCGGUGUAGCGGUGAAAUGCGUAGAGAUCGGGAGGAACAUCAGUGGCGAAGGCGGCCAUCUGGAUCAACACUGACGCUGAGGCACGAAAGCGUGGGGAGCAAACAGG
rnacentral:rRNA from 1 species